AGAUGUCGUCCUCUGUAUCUGCCCUCCCAACCUUGUCGCGUAUGGAUCCACAGAAUUUUCUUUCCAGCGACCCGAAACCCACCUGACCCUUUUAACCACUUACCGGUCUAUCGUCGCCAUUACCUUUACUUAAUUAGACCAACAUUGGCUUAAGGUUCUACUUCCUUAAUUUGGGUUCUGAUUUUCUAUAUUCUACAACUAAAGGAGCUCCCUGAGUUAUAUGUUAUAUACCUUGACACUUUUAAAAUACUUCUUUUUACGCGUUCUUCUUAAGCUCUGUUUACCGCGAGCUUCACAUGAUUCAAAUAAACAUACACACAACUACUGGACGCUAUUACGAUUCACAAUAUUAUUUUUCACGAUUCCACAACUACCUUAACGUAUCUUAAAUCUAUUUAAUUUCUUUUUCUCUUAUUUAAAAAAAAAAAAACUAUUUCUGGACUCUUUCUAUUUUAAUAGUUGGUUCUAAAUUUCUUUUUUGUUUGUAACUGGCCUUCCAUAUGACAAGUUUAAAAUUUCUUUCAUAUAAUAAUGUAAUAAUACUUAAGGAAGAUUUUGUAUGACUCUUAUGUUGGUUAAAUUAAGUGAGCUAUAUAAUUGUUAUUAUUCCAUACACUGAAUACGUUUUUAAUAACUUAUUUAAAUAAAAAAAGGUAAAA